GAUGAACGCUGGCGGCGUGCCUAAUACAUGCCAGUCGAGCGAACGGACGAGAAGCUUGCUUCUCUGAUGUUAGCGGCGGACGGGUGAGUAACACGUGGAUAACCUACCUAUAAGACUGGGAUAACUUCGGGAAACCGGAGCUAAUACCGGAUAAUAUUUUGAACCGCAUGGUUCAAAAGUGAAAGACGGUCUUGCUGUCACUUAUAGAUGGAUCCGCGCUGCAUUAGCUAGUUGGUAAGGUAACGGCUUACCAAGGCAACGAUGCAUAGCCGACCUGAGAGGGUGAUCGGACACACUGGAAGUGAGACACGGUCCAGACUCCUACGGGAGGCAGCAGUAGGGAAUCUUCCGCAAUGGGCGAAAGCCUGACGGAGCAACGCCGCGUGAGUGAUGAAGGUCUUCGGAUCGUAAAACUCUGUUAUUAGGGAAGAACAUAUGUGUAAGUAACUGUGCACAUCUUGACGGUACCUAAUCAGAAAGCCACGGCUAACUACAUG
rnacentral:rRNA from 1 species